rnacentral:rRNA from 1 species
AGUGAACGCUGGCGGUAGGCCUAACACAUGCAAGUCGAACGGCAGCACAUUAAGAGCUUGCUCUUACGGGUGGCGAGUGGCGGACGAGUGAGGAAUACAUCGGAAUCUACUUUUUCGUGGGGGAUAACGUAGGGAAACUUACGCUAAUACCGCAUACGACCUACGGGUGAAAGCAGGGGAUCUUCGGACCUUGCGCGAUUGAAUGAGCCGAUGUCGGAUUAGCUAGUUGGCGGGGUAAAGGCCCACCAAGGCGACGAUCCGUAGCUGGUCUGAGAGGAUGAUCAGCCACACUGGAACUGAGACACGGUCCAGACUCCUACGGGAGGCAGCAGUGGGGAAUAUUGGACAAUGGGCGCAAGACUGAUCCAGCCAUACCGCGUGGGUGAAGAAGGCCUUCGGGUUGUAAAGCCCUUUUGUUGGGAAAGAAAAGCAGCAGGUUAAUACCCCGCUGUUCUGACGGUACACAAAGAAUAAGCACCGGCUAACUUCGUG